GAUCGUGAUCAGUUUACAUGAAGCUGUUCUUUACUGAAGAUCCCCUGAAUUCUUUGGGAAGGUAGGUCUAAUGUAGCUUGCAUGUAUAAUGUAUGCAGAAGUGUUUAGUUAAGUAGGCGUGACCUGAAGUACAGUAAUUGGAACCACAAAAACAGCCUUGUAUUGCCACACCCGCACUUUCUCUGUUUUGCCACACCCACUCUCUGUAGAGAAGUGCACACUGGUAGUCUGUGUCUCAUAAAUAUGCACUGCACAGCUCUCAUAAGAAGAUUACUGUUAUCUUUCACAUUUAUUUUUGAAAUGCCUGCAGAAGCUGUUGAUGCCACUGCAAAUCUGCCAGCCUACAGAUGUACUCCAAUGCAGUGUUUAUAAAAAUGUACUUAUAGCAGUUCUUGUUUUUUAAGCUUUAGAAGAAACGUAUGUUGAGCAGCUUGAAAACCCUGAAAACCCACUACAGUGCCCCAUAAAACUGUACGACUUCUACCGCUUCAAAUGCCCCCAAGGAGCCAGAGGACCCAGUGAUGCCUUCUACUUGAUCCCAGAACCUGUAGUUGCGCCAAAUAGUCCAAUAUGGUACUCUGCUCAGCCAGUGACUGAAGAGCUCAUGCAGCAGAUGUUGAGUAGAAUCCUGAUGAUUCGAGAGGUUCAAGAAACGCAUGCAUCGCCCCGUGUAUCAGCGUACUAGUGAAGUGCUUGAAGGUGCAAGGGCUAAAUUAUGCAUUAGACAUUGAGGAGCAAGUGUAGUUUUGAUCACAGAUUUCUGGGAAGAACUUGAAUAUUUAAAGUGUAGAAAUAUGUUGAUGGAUUGCAGGAAUGACUAAAUGCUCUUUUUUGACCAUCUCCAUUUACUGAUCACAUACAGAUUACAUCAAAACUAUUUAAAAUAUAAUGUGUAAACUUGUACAAACCUACAAGGAUUUUUUUUUGUUGGAUACUGGACAGGUUUAUUUACGCUCAGCACUUGCUGUAGUACUGUUUUUGUUUGAUGCCAACACUGAUCUUUCAAAAUCCCAAAAUCCGCACUGCAGGAUCUUCCAAGGUGCAAUGGUUUGGCAGCCUGGAAAUAAACUGCCAAACGACUGUGAUAUUUCACAUUCGGUCUUAAUUUGUAACAGUACUGUAUUUGAAGAAAUGUGUGAACUUGAGUUUCUUCUACUGGGUAAUAGAGCUUAGCAUCAAGUAAUUUAUAAAACGUGGAAAUUAUUUCGUGCAA